rnacentral:rRNA from 1 species
UGGCGUUGGGGCAGCCUAACACAUGCAAGUCGAACGGUAACAGGAAGCAGCUUGCUGCUUUGCUGACGAGUGGCGGACGGGUGAGUAAUGUCUGGGAAACUGCCUGAUGGAGGGGGAUAACUACUGGAAACGGUGGCUAAUACCGCAAAACGUCGCAAGACCAAAGAGGGGGACCUUCGGGCCUCUUGCCAUCAGAUGUGCCCAGAUGGGAUUAGCUUGUUGGUGAGGUAACGGCUCACCAAGGCGACGAUCCCUAGCUGGUCUGAGAGGAUGACCAGCCACACUGGAACUGAGACACGGUCCAGACUCCUACGGGAGGCAGCAGUGGGGAAUAUUGCACAAUGGGCGCAAGCCUGAUGCAGCCAUGCCGCGUGUAUGAAGAAGGCCUUCGGGUUGUAAAGUACUUUCAGCGGGGAGGAAGGUGUUGUGGUUAAUAACCGCAGCAAUUGACGUUACCCGCAGAAGAAGCACCGGCUAACUCCGUGCCAGCAGCCGCGGUAAUACGGAGGGUGCAAGCGUUAAUCGGAAUUACUGGGCGUAAAGCGCACGCAGGCGGUCUGUCAAGUCGGAUGUGAAAUCCCCGGGCUCAACCUGGGAACUGCAUUCGAAACUGGCAGGCUUGAGUCUUGUAGAGGGGGGUAGAAUUCCAGGUGUAGCGGUGAAAUGCGUAGAGAUCUGGAGGAAUACCGGUGGCGAAGGCGGCCCCCUGGACAAAGACUGACGCUCAGGUGCGAAAGCGUGGGAGCAAACAGGAUUAGAUACCCUGGUAGUCCACGCCGUAAACGAUGUCUACUUGGAGGUUGUGCCCUUGAGGCGUGGCUUCCGGAGCUAACGCGUUAAGUAGACCGCCUGGGGAGUACGGCCGCAAAGUUAAAACUCAAAUGAAUUGACGGGGGCCCGCAAAAGCGGUGGGAGCAUGUGGUUUAAUUCGAUGCAACGCGAAGAACCUUUACCUGGGUCUUGAACAUCCAACAAGAACUUUCCAAGAGAAUGGAUUGGUGCUUUCGGGAAACUGUGAGAAACAGUGCUGCAUGCUGUCGUCAGCUCGUGUUUGUGAAAUGUAGGUAAGUCCCGCAACGAGCGCAACCUAAUCAUUGUGCAGCGGUCAGCGGGCACUCAAGGAAACUGCCAUGAUAACUGAGAGUGGAUGACGUCAGUCAUCAUGCUUUACGGAAACAAGACU